UACCAACCCAUACAAUACCAACCCAUACAAUACCAACCCAUACAAUACCAACCCAUACAAUACCAACCCAUACAAUACCAAACCAUACAAUACCAACUCAUACAAUACCAACUCAUACAAUACCAACUCAUACAAUACCAACUCAUACAAUACCAACCCAUACAAUACCAACCCAUACAAUACCAACCCAUACAAUACCAACCCAUACAAUACCAAACCAUACAAUACCAACCCAUACACCAACUCAUACAAUACCAAACCAUACAAUACCAAACCAUACAAUACCAACCCAUACAAUACCAACUCAUACAAUACCAACCCAUACAAUACCAACCCAUACAAUACCAACCCAUACAAUACCAACCCAUACACCAACUCAUACAAUACCAACCCAUACAAUACCAAACCAUACAAUACCAAACCAUACAAUACCAACUCAUACAAUACCAACCCAUACAAUACCAACCCAUACAAU
rnacentral:lncRNA from 1 species